rnacentral:SRP_RNA from 1 species
UAUUGGUUCUCUCGCAAUGAGACAAGCGUGAAUCUGGUCAGGUCCGGAAGGAAGCAGCCACAGCGCUUUAUCAUGUGCCGGGAUGCGGCUAAUAGAG